GACGAACGCUGGCGGCGUGCUUAACACAUGCAAGUCGAACGGAAAGGCCCUGCUUUUGUGGCGUGCUCGAGUGGCGAACGGGUGAGUAACACGUGAGUAAACUGCCCUUGACUUUGGGAUAACUUCAGGAAACUGGGGCUAAUACAGGAUAGGAUCUCCUGCUGCACGGUGGGGGUUGGAAAGUUUCGGCGGUUGGGGAUGGACUCGCGGCUUAUCAGCUUGUUGGUGGGGUAGUGGCUUACGAAGGCUUUGACGGGUAGCCGGCCUGAGAGGGUGACCGGCCACAUUGGGACUGAGAUACGGCCCAGAAUCCUACGGGAGGCAGCAGUGGGGAAUAUUGCAGAAUGGGCGGAAGCCUGAGGCAGCAACGCCGCGUGCGGGAUGACGUCCUUCGGGUUAUAAACCGCUGUCGCCUGUGACGAAGCGUGAGUGACGGUAAUGGGUAAAGAAGCACCGGCUAACUACGUG
rnacentral:rRNA from 1 species